rnacentral:rRNA from 1 species
AACGAACGCUGGCGGCAGGCUUAACACAUGCAAGUCGAACGCUCGUAGCAAUACGGGAGUGGCAGACGGGUGAGUAACGCGUGGGAACAUACCCUUUGGUUCGGAAUAACUGAGAGAAAUUUCAGCUAAUACCGGAUGUGCCCUUCGGGGGAAAGAUUUAUCGCCAAAGGAUUGGCCCGCGUCUGAUUAGCUAGUUGGUGUGGUAAUGGCUCACCAAGGCGACGAUCAGUAGCUGGUCUGAGAGGAUGAUCAGCCACACUGGGACUGAGACACGGCCCAGACUCCUACGGGAGGCAGCAGUGGGGAAUAUUGGACAAUGGGGGCAACCCUGAUCCAGCCAUGCCGCGUGAGUGAUGAAGGCCUUAGGGUUGUAAAGCUCUUUCGUCAGGGAAGAUAAUGACGGUACCUGAAGAAGAAGCCCCGGCUAACUUCGUGCCAGCCGCCGCCGUAAUAC